UAAUCGAUGGGGGGACGCAGUAGGAUAGGCGAAGCGUGCGAUUGGAUUGCACGUCUAAGCAGUAAGGCUGAGUAUUAGGCAAAUCCGGUACUCGUUAAGGCUGAGCUGUGAUGGGGAGAAGACAUUGAGUCUUCGAGUCGUUGAUUUCACACUGCCGAGAAAAGCCUCUAGAUAGAAAAUAGGUGCCCGUACCGCAAACCGACACAGGUAGUCAAGAUGAGAAUUCUAAGGUGAGCGAGCGAACUCUCGUUAAGGAACUCGGCAAAAUGACCCCGUAACUUCGGGAGAAGGGGUGCUCUUUAGGGUUAACGCCCAGAAGAGCCGCAGUGAAUAGGCCCAAGCGACUGUUUAUCAAAAAC
rnacentral:rRNA from 1 species